rnacentral:lncRNA from 1 species
CAGAACAAUAGUAGACAAAAGGUUUCUGAAGUGUGUAAUUAAAAUGUAAACAUCUAAUAUUUUUCAUACAGACUGUGAUUGACAUUGACCACAGUAUAACAGCAAACGCAUAUCUCCACCAUGUUGACAUAAUGCAAAAAAAACAAAACAAGAUAGCGGAAACCACAACCAUGUCCAAAGCUCUAGCAAUCCAUUUCAUCUGUUGUGCAGCAUUCAUGUACUACUGUAGCCCUCUUCAGAUUCCCCACACCCCCUCUCCCUCCAAUCCCUCGCUCCCUCCUCUUUUCCCUGAACACAAAGCCAAGACUCAGAAGGGAAAGGAACAGAUUAGCCUCCCCCUGCCUCUCGCUCACACCGCUCACACCCGUGGAGUGUUCUUUCCAGGGUGGCUCGCUGAGGGAUGAGGUACGGAGAGCGUGGUAGCAGAAAAAAACCCUCUGGUGCAACGUCAGCAGAGGCGUGCGAUGCAUUGUCAAAUGGCGUGUCUAUUGCCGACUCUCUCACACAAGCUGUGUGUGAAGCCUGCGUAGUCUUGUUGCAGGAGGGGGUGAUGCAUGACAGUAUUAGACAAAUGUAAAGAUGGUUGUGCAGUGUGACCUAUUGUUUGUCUCUACUCUCUGCUGGGCUGCAGUGGCAAAUAAUGUGCUACCAUGACACAUCCAUUUGGAUUUCAUUCAUUUAUGUUAGAACAUUGAUUUUCCUCUCUUUUCUCUCUGUUACUCACUAUCCCUCUCUCUAUAUCUCACACUUGCUAUCCCUCGUUUUCUAUAGCUCUUUCUCUAUCCUUCUCUCACUCUUUCUGUCUGUCUCUAUCCCACUGUCGCUGGUUCUAUCUGUCCGUCUCUAUCCCACUGUCACUGGUCCUAUCUGUCUGUCUCUAUCCCACUGUCACUGGUUCUAUCUGUCUGUCUCUAUCCCACUGUCACUUGUUCUGUCUGUCCGUCUCUAUCCCACUGUCACUGGUUCUAUCUGUCUGUCUCUAUCCCACUGUCACUGGUUCUAUCCGUCUGUCUCUAUCCCACUGUCCCUGGUCCUAUCUGUCUGUCUCUAUCCCACUGUCACUUGUUCUGUCUGUCCGUCUCUAUCCCACUUUAGCUGGUUCUAUCCAUCUGUUACUGGUUAUUUCUGUCUGUCUCUAUCCCACUGUCGCUGGUUCUGGGUGUCCGUAUCUAUCCCACAGUCGCUGGUUCUAUCUGUCUGUCUCUAUCCCACUUUAGCUCGUUCUGUCUGUCUGUCUGUCUCUAUUCUACUGUCGCUUGAUCUAUCUGUCUGUCUCAAUCCCACUGUCGCUGGUUAUUUCUGUCUGUCUCUAUCCCACUGUAGCUCCUUCUAUCUGUCUGUCUCUAUCCCACUUUAGCUUGUUCUGUCUGUCUGUCU